rnacentral:rRNA from 1 species
AGAAUCAACGCUGGCGGCGUGCCUAACACAUGCAAGUCGAACGAGAAAGUUCCCCGAAAGGGGAGCGAGUAAAGUGGCAGACGGGUGAGUAACACGUGAACAAUCUACCCUCGAGUGGGGAAUAACCCCGCGAAAGCGGGGCUAAUACCGCAUAAUACUUCUGGGACGCAUGUCCUGGAGAUCAAGGGCUUCGGUCGCUUGAGGAGGAGUUCGCGCCUGAUUAGCUAGUUGGUGAGGUAACGGCCCACCAAGGCAACGAUCA